rnacentral:rRNA from 1 species
UACGUAGGUGGCAAGCGUUGUCCGGAUUUACUGGGCGUAAAGAGCGCGCAGGCGGUCGUUCAAGUCGAGUGUGAAAGCCCCCGGCUCAACUUGGGAGGGUCAUUCGAUACUGAUCGACUCGAAGGCAGGAGAGGGUAGUGGAAUUCCCGGUGUAGUGGUGAAAUGCGUAGAUAUCGGGAGGAACACCAGUGGCGAAGGCGACUACCUGGCCUGUUCUUGACGCUGAGGCGCGAAAGCUAGGGGAGCAAACGGG